GGAGUUUGGACCGUGUCUCAGUUCCAAUGUGGCCAUUCAUCCUCUCAGACCGGCUACUGAUCGUCGCCUUGGUGGGCCUUUACCCCGCCAACAAGCUAAUCAGACGCGGGCCCAUCCUGUACCACCGGAGUUUUUCACACUGGAAGAUGUCUUCCCGUGCGCUUAUGCGGUAUUAGCAGUCAUUUCUGACUGUUAUCCCCCUGUACAGGGCAGGUUACCCACGCGUUACUCACCCGUCCGCCACUCAGUCAUGCCCCCGAAGGAGCAUGCUUCGUUCGACUUGCAUGUGUUAGGCACGCCGCCAGCGUUCAUC
rnacentral:rRNA from 1 species